rnacentral:rRNA from 1 species
CAGAGGUCCCAAGCGUUGUUCGGAUUUACUGGGCGUAAAGGGAGCGUAGGUGGCAUUCUAAGUCUGAUGUGAAAGCUCUGAGCUUAACUCAGAAAUGGCAUUAGAUACUAGUUUGCUUGAGGAUUGGAGGGGAGAUUGGAAUACUUGGUGUAGCAGUGAAAUGCGUAGAUAUCAAGUGGAACACCAGUGGCGAAGGCGAAUCUCUGGACAAUUCCUGACACUGAUGCUCGAAAGCUAGGGGAGCAAACGGGAUUAGAUACCCCGGUAGUCCUAGCUGUAAACGGUGCACGCUUGCUGUAGGUGGAAUCGACCCCGCCUGUAGCGAAGCUAACGCGUUAAGCGUGCCGCCUGGGAAGUACGGUCGCAAGAUUA